rnacentral:ncRNA from 3 species
GCCGAUCACGGCAAUGGAUUCCUGCCGGGCUCGUCCGAGCCGAACCGCCCGCAAGGCUGAUGAUUCCUACCUGUCG